UACGAAGGGGGCUAGCGUUGUUCGGAUUUACUGGGCGUAAAGCGCACGUAGGCGGAUCGUUAAGUCGGGGGUGAAAUCCUGGAGCUCAACUCCAGAACUGCCUUCGAUACUGAAGAUCUUGAGUUCGGGAGAGGUGAGUGGAACUGCGAGUGUAGAGGUGAAAUUCGUAGAUAUUCGCAAGAACACCAGUGGCGAAGGCGGCUCACUGGCCCGAUACUGACGCUGAGGCACGAAAGCGUGGGGAGCAAACAGG
rnacentral:rRNA from 1 species